GCCUCGUUAGGGAUGUAACAGACUGUGAGGGUCUGCUCUGUGCUGGGCACGGUGGGGUGGAGGCAGGAUUGGUGAACGGGGUCUGGAGGCAGAUGGAGCCAGGUUUGAAUCACAGCACUAACAGUUAAAAGCUGGUAUCUCGAGGUGAGUCAUUAAACCUAACUGUCCCUUAGAGUUUUUAUGUAUAAAGUGCAGAUUAAACACACAUGUGCUAUAACAUUGAUGUGAGCAUUACAUAACAGUAAGAAUAAUUGCUGACAUUUAUCCCCCGCCUGCCAUGUGCCAGGCAGUGCUCCAAACCCUGUCUUGUGAGCAUUGGGUUAGUUCAUGGUCCUCAGGAUGGGGGCCUGUGCUCAGUAAGUACACAUCAGCAUUGUUCCCCAUUGUUAAUCUCACAGCAGCUCCUUAAGGUAGGGAAGACUGCUGCCCCCAUUUUAUAGGUGAGGACGCUGAGGUUGAAGAGGUGAAGGAGUACAUUUGCCUGAGACAGCUAAGUGGUGACCCACAGGGGUUAUUGAUCUAGUCAUGCUGGCUGCAGACUUAACAGCACUGCUUAAUGACUCAGGGUCCUGGCGACCUGGGUUCAAAUCCAAGCCCCACCACUUUCUAGCUGUGUGACCAUGGGCAAGGUAUUUCACAUCUGCCUGCCUCUGAUUCUUCGUGUGUGAAGUGGGCCUAAUCGUAUAACCUGAUACCACGAUUAAAUAAGAUGCCAUGUGAAGUGCUUGUACCGGCUGUGCUCAGCACAUGGGAAAAGCUGCUAAGUGUUAGCGGUUAGACGGGCCCACUCACCUCCUAUCGGAAGAUGCGUACAGAGCACUCAGCACAGUGUCUGACGCACACCGGACCGCCAGUUAGAGGUAAAUCCUCUGUUCCCACUAUUCUUACUACUACUUUGUACUAAUUGAAAUUGCAACUGAAGGCUCAGAGUCACUGUGAAACUCCUACCUGAUCCUUUAAUUUGGGCUUAGUGGUGAUGCCGGGGAGGAAGGGAGCGGAGAUGAUUAUUCCUUCUUUUGACAUGUGGGGCAUGAAGGCCUAUAGAGACACAGGGAUCGCCCACGGUGACAACGGCUAAUGACUGAGGAGCACAGGUUUAUCUGCCUGGGAACACCACAUGAGGAGCAGAGCCACAUGUGACAUCACAGUAAUGCAAGUGAGAGGAACUGUAGAAGCCAUGAGAUGGAAGAGGAGUCAGGCAUUCAAGACACAUUUCUUUGGGGUGCUUUCGUCAAGUGGUGGCAGAUUUUCUUUCCUUCGGGCUUCACCCUUUGCAAAAUGUUCAAAAUAGCAAAUGGUAGAUA